AAGUCGUAACAAGGUUUCCGUAGGUGAACCUGCGGAAGGAUCAUUACAGAGUUCAUGCCCUUCGGGGUAGAUCUCCCACCCGUGUGUAUCAUUAUCGACUGUUGCUUUGGCGGGCCGCGUGCCUCGCACGCCUGGACCGCGGUCCGGCGCGCCCGCCAGAGGACCCCCAAACUCUGAAUGUUAGUGUCGUCUGAGUACUAUUAAAUAGUUAAAACUUUCAACAACGGAUCUCUUGGUUCUG
rnacentral:misc_RNA from 1 species